rnacentral:rRNA from 1 species
GGGCCAGUAACACGUGGGUAACCUGCCUGUAAGACUNNNNNNACUCCGGGAAACCGGGGCUAAUACCGGAUGGUUGUUUGAACCGCAUGGUUCAGACAUAAAAGGUGGCUUCGGCUACCACUUACAGAUGGACCCGCGGCGCAUUAGCUAGUUGGUGAGGUAACGGCUCACCAAGGCAACGAUGCGUAGCCGACCUGAGAGGGUGAUCGGCCACACUGGGACUGAGACACGGCCCAGACUCCUACGGGAGGCAGCAGUAGGGAAUCUUCCGCAAUGGACGAAAGUCUGACGGAGCAACGCCGCGUGAGUGAUGAAGGUUUUCGGAUCGUAAAGCUCUGUUGUUAGGGAAGAACAAGUGCCGUUCAAAUAGGGCGGCACCUUGACGGUACCUAACCAGAAAGCCACGGCUAACUACGUGCCAGCAGCCGCGGUAAUACGUAGGUGGCAAGCGUUGUCCGGAAUUAUUGGGCGUAAAGGGCUCGCAGGCGGUUUCUUAAGUCUGAUGUGAAAGCCCCCGGCUCAACCGGGGAGGGUCAUUGGAAACUGGGGAACUUGAGUGC